rnacentral:rRNA from 1 species
UACGGAGGGAGCUAGCGUUGUUCGGAAUUACUGGGCGUAAAGCGCGCGUAGGCGGCUUUGUAAGUUAGAGGUGAAAGCCCGGGGCUCAACCCCGGAAUUGCCUUUAAGACUGCAUCGCUUGAAUCCGGGAGAGGUGAGUGGAAUUCCGAGUGUAGAGGUGAAAUUCGUAGAUAUUCGGAAGAACACCAAUGGCGAAGGCAGCUCGCUGGGACGGUACUGACGCUGAGACGCGAAAGCGUGGGGAGCAAACAGG